rnacentral:rRNA from 1 species
UACGUAGGGUGCAAGCGUUAAUCGGAAUUACUGGGCGUAAAGCGUGCGCAGGCGGUGAUGUAAGACAGUUGUGAAAUCCCCGGGCUCAACCUGGGAACUGCAUCUGUGACUGCAUCGCUGGAGUGCGGCAGAGGGGGAUGGAAUUCCGCGUGUAGCAGUGAAAUGCGUAGAUAUCGGAAGGAACAUCAGUGGCGAAAGCGGCUUCCUGGUCCAGCACCGACGUUCAGGCACGAAAGCGUGGGGAGCAAACAGG